rnacentral:rRNA from 1 species
GAUUAAGUUAUUAAGGGCGCACGGUGGAUGCCUUGGCACUAGAAGCCGAUGAAGGACGUUACUAACGACGAUAUGCUUUGGGGAGCUGUAAGUAAGCUUUGAUCCAGAGAUUUCCGAAUGGGGAAACCCAGCAUGAGUUAUGUCAUGUUAUCGAUAUGUGAAUACAUAGCAUAUCAGAAGGCACACCCGGAGAACUGAAACAUCUUAGUACCCGGAGGAAGAGAAAGAAAAUUCGAUUCCCUUAGUAGCGGCGAGCGAAACGGGAAGAGCCCAAACCAACAAGCUUGCUUGUUGGGGUUGUAGGACACUCUAUACGGAGUUACAAAGGACGACAUUAGACGAAUCAUCUGGAAAGAUGAAUCAAAGAAGGUAAUAAUCCUGUAGUCGAAAAUGUUGUCUCUCUUGAGUGGAUCCUGAGUACGACGGAGCACGUGAAAUUCCGUCGGAAUCUGGGAGGACCAUCUCCUAAGGCUAAAUACUCUCUAGUGACCGAUAGUGAACCAGUACCGUGAGGGAAAGGUGAAAAGCACCCCGGAAGGGGAGUGAAAUAGAACCUGAAACCGUGUGCUUACAAGUAGUCAGAGCCCGUUAAUGGGUGAUGGCGUGCCUUUUGUAGAAUGAACCGGCGAGUUACGAUUUGAUGCAAGGUUAAGCAGUAAAUGUGGAGCCGUAGCGAAAGCGAGUCUGAAUAGGGCGUUUAGUAUUUGGUCGUAGACCCGAAACCAGGUGAUCUACCCUUGGUCAGGUUGAAGUUCAGGUAACACUGAAUGGAGGACCGAACCGACUUACGUUGAAAAGUGAGCGGAUGAACUGAGGGUAGCGGAGAAAUUCCAAUCGAACCUGGAGAUAGCUGGUUCUCUCCGAAAUAGCUUUAGGGCUAGCCUCAAGUGAUGAUUAUUGGAGGUAGAGCACUGUUUGGACGAGGGGCCCCUCUCGGGUUACCGAAUUCAGACAAACUCCGAAUGCCAAUUAAUUUAACUUGGGAGUCAGAACAUGGGUGAUAAGGUCCGUGUUCGAAAGGGAAACAGCCCAGACCACCAGCUAAGGUCCCAAAAUAUAUGUUAAGUGGAAAAGGAUGUGGCGUUGCCCAGACAACUAGGAUGUUGGCUUAGAAGCAGCCAUCAUUUAAAGAGUGCGUAAUAGCUCACUAGUCGAGUGACACUGCGCCGAAAAUGUACCGGGGCUAAACAUAUUACCGAAGCUGUGGAUUGUCCUUUGGACAAUGGUAGGAGAGCGUUCUAAGGGCGUUGAAGCAUGAUCGUAAGGACAUGUGGAGCGCUUAGAAGUGAGAAUGCCGGUGUGAGUAGCGAAAGACGGGUGAGAAUCCCGUCCACCGAUUGACUAAGGUUUCCAGAGGAAGGCUCGUCCGCUCUGGGUUAGUCGGGUCCUAAGCUGAGGCCGACAGGCGUAGGCGAUGGAUAACAGGUUGAUAUUCCUGUACCACCUAUAAUCGUUUUAAUCGAUGGGGGGACGCAGUAGGAUAGGCGAAGCGUGCGAUUGGAUUGCACGUCUAAGCAGUAAGGCUGAGUAUUAGGCAAAUCCGGUACUCGUUAAGGCUGAGCUGUGAUGGGGAGAAGACAUUGUGUCUUCGAGUCGUUGAUUUCACACUGCCGAGAAAAGCCUCUAGAUAGAAAAUAGGUGCCCGUACCGCAAACCGACACAGGUAGUCAAGAUGAGAAUUCUAAGGUGAGCGAGCGAACUCUCGUUAAGGAACUCGGCAAAAUGACCCCGUAACUUCGGGAGAAGGGGUGCUCUUUAGGGUUAACGCCCAGAAGAGCCGCAGUGAAUAGGCCCAAGCGACUGUUUAUCAAAAACACAGGUCUCUGCUAAACCGUAAGGUGAUGUAUAGGGGCUGACGCCUGCCCGGUGCUGGAAGGUUAAGAGGAGUGGUUAGCUUCUGCGAAGCUACGAAUCGAAGCCCCAGUAAACGGCGGCCGUAACUAUAACGGUCCUAAGGUAGCGAAAUUCCUUGUCGGGUAAGUUCCGACCCGCACGAAAGGCGUAACGAUUUGGGCACUGUCUCAACGAGAGACUCGGUGAAAUCAUAGUACCUGUGAAGAUGCAGGUUACCCGCGACAGGACGGAAAGACCCCGUGGAGCUUUACUGUAGCCUGAUAUUGAAAUUCGGCACAGCUUGUACAGGAUAGGUAGGAGCCUUUGAAACGUGAGCGCUAGCUUACGUGGAGGCGCUGGUGGGAUACUACCCUAGCUGUGUUGGCUUUCUAACCCGCACCACUUAUCGUGGUGGGAGACAGUGUCAGGCGGGCAGUUUGACUGGGGCGGUCGCCUCCUAAAAGGUAACGGAGGCGCUCAAAGGUUCCCUCAGAAUGGUUGGAAAUCAUUCAUAGAGUGUAAAGGCAUAAGGGAGCUUGACUGCGAGACCUACAAGUCGAGCAGGGUCGAAAGACGGACUUAGUGAUCCGGUGGUUCCGCAUGGAAGGGCCAUCGCUCAACGGAUAAAAGCUACCCCGGGGAUAACAGGCUUAUCUCCCCCAAGAGUUCACAUCGACGGGGAGGUUUGGCACCUCGAUGUCGGCUCAUCGCAUCCUGGGGCUGUAGUCGGUCCCAAGGGUUGGGCUGUUCGCCCAUUAAAGCGGUACGCGAGCUGGGUUCAGAACGUCGUGAGACAGUUCGGUCCCUAUCCGUCGUGGGUGUAGGAAAUUUGAGAGGAGCUGUCCUUAGUACGAGAGGACCGGGAUGGACAUACCUCUGGUGUACCAGUUGUCGUGCCAACGGCAUAGCUGGGUAGCUAUGUGUGGACGGGAUAAGUGCUGAAAGCAUCUAAGCAUGAAGCCCCCCUCAAGAUGAGAUUUCCCAACUUCGGUUAUAAGAUC